CCCCAGACUCCUACGGGAGGCAGCAGUGGGGGAUAUUGCACAAUGGGGGAAACCCUGAUGCAGCGACGCCGCGUGGGUGAAGGAGCGUUUCGGCGCGUAAAGCCCUAUCGGCAGGGAAGAAGGAGGACGGUACCUGGCUAAGAAGCCCCGGCUAACUACGUGCCAGCAGCCGCGGUAAUACGUAGGGGGCAAGCGUUAUCCGGAUUUACUGGGGGUAAAGGGGGCGCAGACGGCAGCGCAAGCCAGGAGUGAAAGGCCGGGGCCCAACCCCGGGACUGCUCUUGGAACUGCGCGGCUGGAGUGCAGGAGGGGCAGGCGGAAUUCCUGGUGUAGCGGGGAAAUGCGUAGAUAUCAGGAGGAACACCGGUGGCGAAGGCGGCCUGCUGGACUGCGACUGACGUUGAGGCCCGAAAGCGUGGGGAGCAAACAGGAUUAGAUACCCCCGUAGAC
rnacentral:rRNA from 1 species